UUCCAUCAUAUUUUUAGAGAG
rnacentral:piRNA from 1 species